rnacentral:rRNA from 1 species
GCUCAGGACGAACGCUGGCGGCGUGCUUAACACAUGCAAGUCGAACGAUGAAGCCUUUCGGGGUGGAUUAGUGGCGAACGGGUGAGUAACACGUGGGCAAUCUGCCCUUCACUCUGGGACAAGCCCUGGAAACGGGGUCUAAUACCGGAUAACACUCUGUCCCGCAUGGGACGGGGUUAAAAGCUCCGGCGGUGAAGGAUGAGCCCGCGGCCUAUCAGCUUGUUGGUGGGGUGAUGGCCUACCAAGGCGACGACGGGUAGCCGGCCUGAGAGGGCGACCGGCCACACUGGGACUGAGACACGGCCCAGACUCCUACGGGAGGCAGCAGUGGGGAAUAUUGCACAAUGGGCGAAAGCCUGAUGCAGCGACGCCGCGUGAGGGAUGACGGCCUUCGGGUUGUAAACCUCUUUCAGCAGGGAAGAAGCGAAAGUGACGGUACCUGCAGAAGAAGCGCCGGCUAACUACGUGCCAGCAGCCGCGGUAAUACGUAGGGCGCAAGCGUUGUCCGGAAUUAUUGGGCGUAAAGAGCUCGUAGGCGGCUUGUCACGUCGGAUGUGAAAGCCCGGGGCUUAACCCCGGGUCUGCAUUCGAUACGGGCUA